UUAUUUUGUGCACAUUUGGUAAGUAAACAUGGAUAUGAAAUUUUUUUUUUUAAAUCAAAAUAUAGUUGGUAUUUAAAAUCAUAUCUGUUAAGAUUCAGAUUAUGAAUUUUUAUAUUGCUAUAUAUUUAAAAGAUCUCAAAUAUAGUUAAUAUUUUAUUGAUUGAACUGUUAUAUAUGUGCUAAUUAAUGGAGAUUAUUUUU
rnacentral:lncRNA from 1 species